CCCUACGGGGUGCAGCAGGCAUCCAUCCGCAUCACGCCGAACGGUGGAAAGGUGCAAUUGCAGACAUCAAAGUGUUGCUGAAAACCGCUCCCGGUGCAGCCGUGGGAGAAAUUGGGCUUGAUUAUUGCCGCAUGCUCUCGCAAAAGGAUGCGCAGCUAGCAGCAUUCAAAGCAAACCUGGAACUUGCCAGCGAAUUCGAAAGGCCGGUCAUCGUACAUAGCAGAGAAGCAACGGAUGAUCUGUUAUCGAUUAUGGAUGAAUGGAUUUGUCAAAUUCCGGUCUCUUCUGCAGUGAAGGAAAGGCCGGGCGUUUUUCAUGCCUAUAACGGGGACCCGCACAUUUUAGAGUUUGCAUUAAGCCACCACUUUUUUUUGGGAAUUGGCGGGAGGGC
rnacentral:rRNA from 1 species